UUGAUGUGUAGGAUAGGUGGGAGGCUUUGAAGCGUGGACGCCAGUCUGCGUGGAGCCGACCUUGAAAUACCACCCUUUAAUGUUUGAUGUUCUAACGUGGACCCGUGAUCCGGGUUGCGGACAGUGUCUGGUGGGUAGUUUGACUGGGGCGGUCUCCUCCUAAAGAGUAACGGAGGAGCACGAAGGUUGGCUAAUCCUGGUCGGACAUCAGGAGGUUAGUGCAAUGGCAUAAGCCAGCUUGACUGCGAGCGUGACGGCGCGAGCAGGUGCGAAAGCAGGUCAUAGUGAUCCGGUGGUUCUGAAUGGAAGGGCCAUCGCUCAACGGAUAAAAGGUACUCCGGGGAUAACAGGCUGAUACCGCCCAAGAGUUCAUAUCGACGGCGGUGUUUGGCACCUCGAUGUCGGCUCAUCACAUCCUGGGGCUGAAGUAGGUCCCAAGGGUAUGGCUGUUCGCCAUUUAAAGUGGUACGCGAGCUGGGUUUAGAACGUCGUGAGACAGUUCGGUCCCUAUCUGCCGUGGGCGCUGGAGAACUGAGGGGGGCUGCUCCUAGUACGAGAGGACCGGAGUGGACGCAUCACUGGUGUUCGGGUUGUCAUGCCAAUGGCACUGCCCGGUAGCUAAAUGCGGAAGAGAUAAGUGCUGAAAGCAUCUAAGCACGAAACUUGCCCCGAGAUGAGUUCUCCCUGAGACUUUAGGUCUCCUGAAGGAACGUUGAAGACGACGACGUUGAUAGGCCGGGUGUGUAAGCGCAGCGAUGCGUUGAGCUAACCGGUACUAAUGAACCGUGAGGCUUAACCUUACAACGCCGAAG
rnacentral:rRNA from 1 species